UCUCUUCCCAGCCGCUCCAAACUAUGCUAUUUCCCAACCAAGCAGCCUCCCUUCGCCGCCCUCCAUCUUAUUCCCCGUUCUCCCGUCGAAGUUCGCUGCGGUCGCCGCUCGCCGCUCGCCGCUCUCCAUCGUCGAUUGCAGCAGCUCGCUGGUGUAGUCUCUCCUUCGUACAACGCGUAGCAGCAGCGUGUGGUCGGUGAGAUCUGGUUGCUACCAAAAAUCCGGCGAGCAAAUCUGGGACGACGACGUACUGGGCGAGCUCUUAAUCCUAUCCUUUUCUCAGGUCUUUGAUUUGGGAGAAGAAGCAUCUGAUCGGGUUUUGCGUAGGUUGUAUCUGAACCUAUAAAAGUUCAAGAGCAAUGGUGAUGUGUAUGGUGUGUACCUUUUUACCUUGGAACUAAUUAUUUGGCCUUUUCUUAAGCUUAAAACUUCUCAACUGUUGAGAAACUGUUAAAUUAGUACGGAGUAAUUCUUUAGCCCAUUCUUUGAAAUUAUAAAUAUAUUUAUAGGAUAAUGUCUUUAGAUGCA